rnacentral:rRNA from 1 species
CCUACGGGUGGCUGCAGUAGGGAAUAUUGGACAAUGGGCGAAAGCCUGAUCCAGCAAUGCCGCGUGAGUGAUGAAGGCCUUAGGGUUGUAAAGCUCUUUUACCCGAGAUGAUAAUGACAGUAUCGGGAGAAUAAGCUCCGGCUAACUCCGUGCCAGCAGCCGCGGUAAUACGGAGGGAGCUAGCGUUGUUCGGAAUUACUGGGCGUAAAGCGCACGUAGGCGGCGAUUUAAGUCAGAGGUGAAAGCCCGGGGCUCAACCCCGGAACUGCCUUUGAGACUGGAUUGCUAGAAUCUUGGAGAGGCGAGUGGAAUUCCGAGUGUAGAGGUGAAAUUCGUAGAUAUUCGGAAGAACACCAGUGGCGAAGGCGGCUCGCUGGACAAGUAUUGACGCGGAGGUGCGAAAGCGUGGGGAGCAAACAGGAUUAGAUACCCUGGUAGUC